GGGCCCGAGCUUCAGUUUUUCGACGUCGUGGCAAGCUGGCCUGGCUCUGUCCACGAUAGUCGAAUUUUUACUAACAGCAGAGUAAGUGUCAUGUAUGAGCAGAAGGCAGUAACUGGCAUCCUCCUUGGCGAUCAAGGUUACGCAUGUUCGCCCUAUUUGAUGACCCCACUGAGGAACCCUCAAACAACUGCAGAGAAAAGGUACAACAGGAGUCACAUUAGAACGAGGAAUUCCAUUGAGCGAGCUUUUGGACUCUGGAAGAGACGUUUUGCAUGCCUCAGGACAAAGCUGGAAACGCUGACAGAGCGGACGGUUGCAAUUAUCACCGCAUGUGCAGCACUGCAUAACAUUGCUUGCACUUUGCGGGAACCCAACCCUAAUGUUGACGAGCCGGAGCCUGAAGGUGAAGGUGUGGCAUUGUGUGAACCUGACUCACCUCUGGGUACCCAACAUCGAAGGCACCUUAUCCAGCGUUGCUUCACAAGUGCCCAAAGUGAAGAUGACAGCGAUAUGGACACGGUGUAGAGCACGAAGGCGAGCCUCCAGCUCCGUCGAUAAUGCUGUGUCGACAGCAGCAAGACGACCACUUUGGCGACGGCGAACAACUGGCUCAGCUCCUGAGCCUUGGUCCAUGAAAGCAUCUUCUCUGUUUUGGCAGCCCGAUGGCCUUGAGGUUGCUGUUUCUGCAGGCAGCCCACCACUGCUGAGAGGAGGUGCUGGCGAGCACUGCUGUGAUGUAGCCUCGGCAAACCCACCUGCCUGGCUAAGGUUACUAUUCAUCCCGAACUCUGCAAGUAACAGUGUUCAUAAAAGUUUCACAGUGCUUUAAAAAGAACAAAUAAACGGUUCACCACAAAACAAA